rnacentral:rRNA from 1 species
CCCUUCCCGUAGGUGAACCUGCGGAGGGAUCAUUACCGAGUUUACAACUCCCAAACCCCUGUGAACAUACCACUUGUUGCCUCGGCGGAUCAGCCCGCUCCCGGUAAAACGGGACGGCCCGCCAGAGGACCCCUAAACUCUGUUUCUAUAUGUAACUUCUGAGUAAAACCAUAAAUAAAUCAAAACUUUCAACAACGGAUCUCUUGGUUCUGGCAUCGAUGAAGAACGCAGCAAAAUGCGAUAAGUAAUGUGAAUUGCAGAAUUCAGUGAAUCAUCGAAUCUUUGAACGCACAUUGCGCCCGCCAGUAUUCUGGCGGGCAUGCCUGUUCGAGCGUCAUUUCAACCCUCAAGCACAGCUUGGUGUUGGGACUCGCGUUAAUUCGCGUUCCCCAAAUUGAUUGGCGGUCACGUCGAGCUUCCAUAGCGUAGUAGUAAAACCCUCGUUACUGGUAAUCGUCGCGGCCACGCCGUUAAACCCCAACUUCUGAAUGUUGACCUCGGAUCAGGAGAAUGACGU